UUCGGGGACAUUGGUGACAGGUGGUGCAUGGUUGUCGUCAGCUCGUGUCGUGAGAUGUUGGGUUAAGUCCCGCAACGAGCGCAACCCUUGUCUUUAGUUGCCAUCAUUAAGUUGGGCACUCUAGAGAGACUGCCAGGGAUAACCUGGAGGAAGGUGGGGAUGACGUCAAAUCAUCAUGCCCCUUAUGCUUAGGGCUACACACGUGCUACAAUGGGUAGUACAGAGGGUUGCCAAGCCGUAAGGUGGAGCUAAUCCCUUAAAGCUACUCUCAGUUCGGAUUGUAGGCUGAAACUCGCCUACAUGAAGCUGGAGUUACUAGUAAUCGCAGAUCAGAAUGCUGCGGUGAAUGCGUUCCCGGGUCUUGUACACACCGCCCGUCACACCACGGGAGUUGGAGACGCCCGAAGCCGAUUAUCUAACCUUGUGGAAGAAGUCGUCGAAGGUGGAAUCAAUAACUGGGGUGAAGUCGUAACAAGGUAGCCGUAUCGGAAGGUGCGGCUGGAUCACCUCCUUUCUAAGGA
rnacentral:rRNA from 1 species